rnacentral:rRNA from 1 species
GACGAACGCUGGCGGCGUGCUUAACACAUGCAAGUCGAACGGAAAGGCCCUGCUUGUUUGUGGUGCUCGAGUGGCGAACGGGUGUGUAACACGUGAGUAACCUGCCCUUGACUUUGUGAUAACUUCAGGAAACUGGGGCUAAUACCGGAUACGAGCUCCUGCUGCAUGGGGGGGGUCGGAAAGUUUCGGCGGUUGGGGAUGGACUUGCGGCUUAUCAGCUUGUUGGUGGGGGAGUGGCUUACCCAGCCUUUGACUGGUAGCCGGCCUGGGAGGGUGAACGGCCACCUUGGGACUGAGGUACGGCGCAGACUGCUACGGGAGACAGCAGUGGGGAGUAUUGCACAAUGGGCGGAAGCCUGAUACAGCGACGCUGCGUGCGGGAUGCCGGCCUUCGGGUUGUAAACCGCUUUCGCCUGUGACGAAGCGGGAGUGACGGUAAUAGGUAAAGAAGCACCGGCUAACUACGUG